CCCGCCCGCUGUAUGCCCCCGGGGGCGCGGCCAUGGAGGUAGUGGGCGACUUCGAGUACAGCAAGAGGGACCUCGUGGGACACGGGGCCUUCGCGGUGGUCUUCCGGGGGCGGCACCGCCAGAAAACUGACUGGGAGGUGGCUAUUAAAAGUAUUAAUAAAAAGAACUUGUCAAAAUCACAAAUCCUGCUUGGGAAGGAAAUUAAAAUCUUGAAGGAACUUCAGCACGAAAAUAUUGUAGCCCUCUAUGAUGUUCAGGAAUUACCCAACUCUGUCUUUCUGGUGAUGGAGUACUGCAAUGGUGGAGACCUGGCAGAUUAUUUGCAAGCUAAGGGAACUCUCAGCGAAGAUACUAUUAGAGUGUUUCUGCAUCAGAUUGCAGCUGCCAUGCGAAUUCUGCACAGCAAAGGAAUAAUCCACAGGGAUCUCAAACCACAGAACAUCUUGCUGUCAUACGCCAAUCGCAGAAAGUCCAACGUCAGUGGUAUUCGCAUCAAAAUAGCGGAUUUUGGGUUUGCUCGUUACCUGCAUAGUAACAUGAUGGCCGCAACCUUGUGUGGGUCCCCAAUGUACAUGGCUCCUGAGGUUAUUAUGUCUCAACAUUAUGAUGCUAAGGCAGACCUGUGGAGCAUAGGAACGGUGAUAUAUCAAUGCCUAGUUGGAAAGCCACCUUUUCAGGCCAAUAGUCCUCAAGACUUAAGGAUGUUUUAUGAAAAAAAUAGGAGCUUAAUGCCUAGUAUUCCCAGAGAAACAUCACCUUAUUUGGCUAAUCUCCUCUUGGGUUUGCUUCAGAGAAACCAAAAAGACAGAAUGGACUUUGAAGCAUUUUUCAACCAUCCUUUUCUUGAGCAAGUUCCAGUGAAAAAAUCCUGCCCCGUCCCGGUGCCCGUGUAUGCUGGCUCUGUCUCCGGCAGCUCCUGUGGCAGCUCCCCGUCUUGUCGUUUUGCCUCUCCACCGUCCCUUCCAGAUAUGCAGCAUAUUCAGGAAGAGAACUUAUCCUCCCCACCGUUGGGUCCUCCCAACUGUCUGCAAGUGUCCAAAGAUUCUGCCAGCACUAGUAGCAAGAACUCUUCCUGUGAUACGGAUGACUUUGUUUUGGUUCCACACAGCAUCUCGUCAGACCACUCAUAUGACAUGCCAAUGGGAGCUGCUGGCAAGCGUGCUUCAAACGAGUUCUUGGUGUGUGGAGGGCAGUGCCAGCCUACCGUGUCCCCUCACAGUGAGACAGCACCAAUUCCGGUCCCUACUCAGAUAAGGAAUUAUCAGCGCAUAGAGCAGAAUCUUACAUCUACUGCCAGCUCUGGCACAAAUCUGCACGGUUCUCCAAGAUCUGCAGCGGUACGAAGGUCGAACACCAGCCCUAUGGGCUUCCUCCGGCUGGGAUCCUGCUCCCCGGCACCAGCAGACACAGUGCAGACAGUUGGACGGAGACUCUCCACUGGGUCUUCCAGACCUUAUUCACCUUCCCCUUUGGUUGGUACCAUUCCUGAGCAAUUUAGUCAGUGCUGCUGUGGGCAUCCUCAGGGUCAUGAAUCCAGGAGCAGAAACUCAUCAGGUUCUCCAGUGCCACAGGCCCAGUCACCACAGUCUCUCCUGUUGGGUGCUAGAUUGCAGAGCGCCCCUACCCUCACUGACAUCUACCAGAACAAGCAGAAACUCAGAAAGCAGCACUCGGACCCUGUGUGCCCAUCCCACGCUGGGGUUGGGUACAGCUACUCACCUCAGCCCAGUCGGCCUGGUGGCCUUGGAACCUCUCCCACCAAGCACAUGGGGUCCUCUCCUCGGAGUUCAGACUGGCUCUUUAAAACUCCUUUACCAACAAUCAUUGGCUCUCCUACUAAGACCACAGCUCCUUUCAAAAUACCUAAAACACAAGCGUCUUCCAACCUGCUAGCCUUGGUUACUCGUCAUGGGCCUUCUGAAGGGCAGUCUAAAGAUGGGAGUGACCCACGGGAAUGUUCUCAUUGUCUCUUAGUACAAGGAAGUGAGAGGCAGAAGUCUGAGCAGCAGAACAAGGCAGUGUUUGGCAGGUCUGUCAGUACUGGGAAAUUAUCAGAUCAACAAGUAAAGAUACCUUUAGGUGGACAUCAGGGCAGCACGGACAGCUUAAAUACAGAACGACCAAUGGAUAUAGCCCCCGCAGGAGCUUGUGGUGUGGUACUGGCACCUCCCAUAGGAACAGCAGCAAGUUCCAGGGCUGUCCUGUUCACGGUAGGAUCUCCUCCACACAGUGCCACGGCCCCCACUUGUACCCAUAUGGUCCUUCGAACGAGAACAACCUCAGCGGGCUCCAGCGGCUCCGGAGGCUCCCUGUGCUCCGCCAGCGGCCGCGCGUGCGUGGGCUCCCCGCCAGGGCCGUGCUCGGGGUCCUCCCCUCCGGGAGCGGAGGCGGCUCCCGGCCUGAGAUACAUGCCUUAUGGUGCUUCACCCCCCAGCCUAGAGGGGCUCAUCACCUUUGAAGCCCCUGAACUGCCAGAGGAGACACUGAUGGAGCGAGAACACACAGACGCCUUACGCCACCUCAGUGUGAUGCUGAUGUUCACCGAGUGCGUGCUGGACCUGACAGCCGCGCGGGGAGGAGACCCGGAGCUGUGCGCGUCGGCUGUCUCAUCCGCCGUCUCCUUGUACCAGAUCCAGGAGAGCGUGGUCGUGGACCAGAUCAGCCAACUAAGCAAAGACUGGGGGCGGGUGGAACAGCUGGUGUUGUACAUGAAGGCGGCACAGCUUCUAGCCGCAUCGCUGCAUCUCGCCAAAGCCCAGGUCAAGUCCGGGAAACUGAGCCCAUCCACGGCCGUGAAACAAGUUGUCAAGAAUUUGAAUGAACGAUACAAAUUCUGCAUCACCAUGUGCAAGAAACUUACGGAAGAGCUGACUCGCUUCUUCUCUGACAAACAGAGAUUUAUUGAUGAAAUCAGCAGCGUGACUGCAGAGAAACUCAUCUAUAAUUGUGCUGUAGAAAUGGUUCAGUCUGCAGCCCUGGAUGAGAUGUUUCAGCAGACAGAAGAUAUUGUUUAUCGCUAUCAUAAGGCAGCCCUUCUUUUGGAAGGCCUAACGAAGAUCCUCCAGGACCCUGCAGAUAUUGAAAACGUACAUAAAUAUAAAACUAGUAUUGAAAGAAGAUUGUCAGCACUCUGCUGUAGCACCGCGACCCUGUGAGCGGCAGCCGGUCCGGCCCCUGGACCAGUAGUGGAAUUGAGGACAGAAGUUUGGGAUGACAGCUCGGGUUCUGGUUCCCCAUCUCCAGGAAACCGUAGUUUCUCACCUGGUGACUACCAAAGACCAAGCAGUGACUUCACAAAGGAAGAACAAUCCAAAACUACAUACUUGUAGGAAAUCUGCCUUAUCGGAGACGACACCCCUUCCCCUUUUCUUUGUAGAAGCAGCAGCAAGAGUAUUCCACUUGGCUCUCAGUUCGAACCUGAAAUGGGCCAGUCUACACAUCCAUGGGUUGACACCCGUAUUGAAGGCAUAACGUGGGAAGUUACUGAGCACACGCAUGUAAACAGAGGCCUGUUCGGUGAGUUUGCUAACCAGCUCUUCCCGCUGUAAGAGUUUGCCUUUAUAACGGCACCCUGUCCUGGACCUAACGGUUCCCACAGUCCAUGCGCCCUUAUCCCCGCCCAGAGGAACAGUCGAGGCAGCAAUGGUCUUGUUUCUGCCCGAGUCCUGGAGAGGAGCUUCCUGGCAGGGCCGGGUCCUCCUCAGUCUCCACAGGGCCACAAGGGAGAAGCUGAGCGGGGACAUAGUGGACAUGAAGCCAUUGACUCAGGUAUCUAGGAAGCCGUUGAGGUGACAGAAGUGAUUGCAGGACGACCUCCCACGCGUGGAGUCUCUACAGACCGUCUUAAAUCCUUUCUGAGAUAAAGCGCCGUUGGUGUGUGGCUCCAGGAGGGUUGCCUGCUGGUGUCCGCGACAACGAGGAGCUACUGCUCGGGGAGCGUGAUGUUCUCCCUCCACCGAGAGGUGCGUCUUCGAAGCAUCUGUGCCCAUCUCCACGCGGCCCUGAGACGGUUCACCUCUGGGGCCUGGACCCGUGAAUCUUCAGCCCCGGAAGCUCUCGGGACCUGCUCGCGUCUCUUCCUCGUUUAUCAAAGCCCUUGUGAGAGGACUGCCUGUGGGAGAGGGUCAAGACGGUGUUUUCCUUACCAGAGUCAGAGGGAACCACCUCAGAACCGAUCCACCUAGAAAAGCGUGGCUCUCCGGGAAACUGACAAUCAGCCCCGAAAAUCUCCGCUUUUGCGGAGGGGGCAGAGCCAAACAGGAAGGGUCAGUGUGAAUUCAGGGACCAGACUGUGGUAGAGACAGGAACCGGGGGCCGGGAGCCUGCUGUCCCCGCCGCUGCAGGCACACUGACCCCGCGGAGGCCGCACAGACCAGGGCCCUGGGCGCGCAUGUCUGCCCCCUGCAAGCGGAACUCACCUAUGGGCUCCCCCUUUUCACAGAGAGUCUCUUAGCCCAGUUUUCAACGGGCCAUGUGGAUUUUGUCGUUCAGUGUGUUCCCAGGGUGCCUCCUGGGAGUGGAUCUGAGCCGAGGAGGCUGCUUCCUGGAGCCCCGCACCUGCUCCUUCCCUUGGCACAGCGGCUCCUUCGACGUCUGCACUCGGGAGACAGGCGGUGGGCCUCUCCUGGGCGAGGCUGCCUGGCGCACGGUCGUGGACCGCCCCACGCUGCGUGCCCUCCUCCGAGACAGUCCUGACCUUCCCAGAGUUUGCUUCCAUCACUAGGAGAGGCCAGCCGAGCACUUGUUUGCUGAAAGCUUCACUCUGCCUCCUCGGCGUGGUGGUCCCCCGGGUCCCAGACUCCAGCUUCCCCGUGCAGAGCUGUGUGUCCAGAGGGCAAGGGCGCAGAGCUCAGAGAGUGGGGUGCGGAUGAAACAGGUCAAUCUGGCAGUUACGGUGAAGUGUUUGUAUCGAGCCAACAUUUAUUUGAUCGGCAUAUCAACCCUUACUUGCCUCAUUUUACCGAUGAAGAAACAGACUUGGAGAGUAAUCCCCGCUCCGAGAGAAAAGCCCUGAGGCCAGGACAGUGCCUGGCCAAUAGCAGACACCCAGCGAGUAUUUGUGGAAAAUGAUAAUGGUGCUGCUGGCCGAUCUAUAUGCAUUCCAUGUGCCAGCCACAGUUGUAAGAAUCUUACGUACACGAACUGAUGUCAACCUCAGAGCCGGCACCGUGAUCAAACUGCAGUACAGAGACGUUACUCAACUUGCUGAUUUCUCCCAGGCGGUUGGAAAAAGAUCGGAGGGGACACCAAUGGAUACAGGGACACCAACUGAAACUUAUUCAAAUGAGAAUUGAAAUCAACAUGAUGUAGAGACGAAUACGACGUAGGCGUGUGUCAGGCUCCCCUGGAACCACACACCCCAGCGAAGUCCCUGGAUGCGCGAUGAGCCUUUAUCUCCGACUCUGCUUUUUGGGAUACCCAGGCCAACACUGUGCUUGGAGCGUCCCCCAAAGAUAGAGGGCCAAGGGCUGCUCAGCAGUCCCUCCAGCACGACCUGUGGGAGAACUUUUAUAAAUACCUC